UACGGAGGGCGCAAGCGUUGUUCGGAAUCACUGGGCGUAAGGCGCGUGUAGGCGGCCGGGCAAGUCGGAUGUGAAAUCCCGAGGCUCAACCUCGGAACUGCAUUCGAAACUGCUCGGCUAGAGUCCCGGAGAGGAUGGCAGAAUUCCCGGUGUAGGGGCGAAAUCCGUAGGUAUCGGGAGGAAUCCCAGUGGCGAAGGCGGCCAUCUGGACGGUGACUGACGCUGAGACGCGAAAGCGUGGGGAGCAAACAGA
rnacentral:rRNA from 1 species